UAGAGCCGAAUACACUCUAAAAAUGAAGGGUUCAACUGGAGUUGUUCUCAGAUCCCCUAAGAACCGUAGGGUUCUUGUCAAUGAAAAACAGCCCAAAAGGUUCUUCAAAGAACUUGUUAGAAGGUGGGUUCAUCGAGGAACCUCCGUUGUUGCUGGACUUCUUCCUGGAACUUCGCAAUUACAACUGAAAACGCCAGUGGCAAGUUUGGAUGCGACAACAGUUAAAAAGGACAGAACAUGGACACAAUGCAAUUGGGAUCAAGAAGAUCUUCUCAGAAAUGAAUCAAGUCCAUGGAAUGGAUAUAGACAAAAAGAGAAUUCAAGGACUAGCAGAGGUAAAGAGGUGAGGCAGGGGUGAGGAGACCAUCCUGCUAUUUUGACAGUCCCUGAAGGACAAUACAGAAGAGGACUGGAGACCACAGCAGCGAUCCUGCUCUUGCCCUACCUCUUCAAGAGGACCCGAGUGGCCUUUAUGUCAGUGACAAGAUUUCACCACUCUUCACUCCGUUACUGCACAUCGGCGGAAAUCCAUUUCACCAUGAGAGUGAAAUCCCGCUGGCCUUUGAUGGGGAGAACGUCCACGCCCUCGAGGACUUGGGGCUCUGCUACGACUGCAUUUAAAAAAUCCCUUAAAUUUCCCAAAAUGUCAGAAAAACACAUAUGUUCUUAAGUUACUGUGUUCUGGGGAUAAGAGAAGUUGGGGUGAAGUUACCAGGACCGGUCAUAAAGAUGGCAAAAUUCCGAACAUAACUAAAUGGAUACGAUAUACACACUAAAGCUGAAAAAUCUGUAUUUAGCAUCAAGUCUACAAUAUUGUUAGUUUACCUAUGAUUCAUUUUUAAUGUAUGUUGUUUUUAUUGUACAUCAUUAUUCAUAUAUAUUUUUUAAAUGUCAUGAAAAGCCCUAUACAAAGUAAAUGUAUUAUUUAUUAUGGUCU